UACGUAGGUUGCGAGCGUUAAUCGGAAUUACUGGGCGUAAAGUGUGCGCAGGCGGCUAAGCAAGUCGAGUGUGAAAGCCCCGAGCUUAACUUGGGAAUUGCGCUCGAAACUACUUGGCUGGAGUGUGGCAGAGGAAGGUGGAAUUCCACGUGUAGCGGUGAAAUGCGUAGAGAUGUGGAGGAACACCAAUGGCGAAGGCAGCCUUCUGGGCCAACACUGACGCUCAUGCACGAAAGCGUGGGGAGCAAACAGG
rnacentral:rRNA from 1 species